CUGGGCUGGGCUCCACAGCAUCUGGGAAGGCAGAGGGCAUUUCUGGGGGAGAGGGCAUGAGCAAGUACGGGGAGGCUGGAUGGGCACAGCACAGGCGUCAGGAAGACAGAAGAAGCUGGACAGAAAGAGAUCAAGAUUUAACUGGUUAUGCUGUAGACCAUGGCAGAUCGUAACAGAAGACAAAGCCCUUAAAAGAAAUGAAACUAUCCUCAUUAAAGGCCUGAUGGCUCACACCAUCCAGGAGAUCUCCUCUGCUACCAACUCCCAGCAGCUGAUUCAGCGGUCCUUCAUGAACAAUAGGCAACUGAACAAGAAAAUGAGUUUAUAUUGUUCAAAAGAAAGAAGAAUGCCUCUUUUUUCCCUUGAACAAGGGAGGUGGAGACUAACAAAAGAUUCUUUGCUUGACCAAACUUUAGUCAGGCUUCUAAAUCUUCCCCUCGGCCCGUCUGUGCACUUCCUUGUGAAAUCCAGUUUUAGCAAAGAACAUUUGUAAGUCAGUUUAGCAAGAACCCACCUCCCCACCCCCAUCCUCAAUAUCUGAUCAGGUUGCUCAGUUGCCAUCAUCCCCCAGGUGAUGUCUGAUUACCCUAGCCUGUCUUCAGCAAGAAUUCUGUUAGGUCAGUUCAGCCAGAAUCUCCCUUAACUCUUAUGUUUCCUCUCAGUAAUUUUUUUAUUUUUAUUUUAUUAUUAUUUUUUUGAGACAGAGCCUCCCUCUGUCACCCAGGCUGGAGUGCAGUGGCACGAUCUUGGCUCACUGCAACUUCUGCCUCCUGAGUUCAAGUGAUUCUUGUGCCUCAGCCUCCUAAGUGGCUGGGACCAUAGGUGUGUGUUGCCAUACCCAGCUAAUUUUUUUUUUCCUCAAGACGGAGUCUUGCUCUGUCGCCAAGGCUGGAGUGCAAUGGCGCAAUCUCAGCUCACUGCAACUUCUGCCUCUUGGGUUCAAGCAAUUCUCCUGCCUCAGCCUGCCGAGUAGCUGGGAUUACAGGUGCUCGCCACCACGCCCAUCUAAUUUUUUGUAUUUUUAGUAGAGACUAAAAAUAGUCUCUAGACCAUGUUGGCCAGGCUGGUCUUGAACUCCUGACUUUGUGAUCUGCCCACCUCGGCCUCCCAAAGUGCUAGGAUUACAGGCAUGAGCCACUGUGCCCACCCGGUGCCCAGCUGAUUUUUUAUAUUUUUAGUAGAGACUGGGUUUUGCCAUGUUGCCCAGGCUGGUCUUGAACUCCUGAGCUCAGGGCAAUCUGCCUGCCUCGGCCUCUCAGAGUGCUAGGAUUACAGGUAUGAGCCACCGUGCCCGGCCUUCUUCUUAGUAAUUUUCUAUCCACUGACCCCCACACUCUUCAUGGCUAUAAAUUCCUAUAUAAUUGCAUAAAUUCUACGCAAUCUCUCUCCCCAACUCUGAGACCCCAUUGCAGUGGUACCCUAUAACUAUGUCAAUGGCCCUGAAUAAAGU
rnacentral:lncRNA from 10 species